GUUGAACGCUGGCGGCAUGCUUUAUACAUGCAAGUCGAACGGACGCGCGAGCUGCUUGCUUCCGUCGUGUUGGCGACGGACGAGUAAGGCAUCCGAGGGUGCCCAACCGUUGGGGAUAGGCUGGCGUAAGCAGAACUAAGAUCGCAUAGGAUCUGAGUGUGAAAGCCGGGGUUCGAAAGGGCUCGACGUAUCUGCUCGCACGAUGUCGGAUUAGCUAGUUGGUUGGGUAAAGGCUUACCAAGGCGACGAACCGUAGCUGGUCUGAGAGGCCGACCAGCCACACUGGGACUGAGACACGGCCCAGACUCCUACGGGAGGCAGCAGUGGGGAAUUUUGGACAAUGGGGGCAAGCCUGAUCCAGCCAUGCCGCGUGAGGGAAGAAGGCCUUCGGGUUGUAAACCGCUUUUGUUCGGGAAGAAAUCCUCUGGGCUAAUACCCCGGGGGGAUGACGGUACCGGAAGAAUAAGCACCGGCUAACUACGUG
rnacentral:rRNA from 1 species